UCGGAUUCAUUUCAGUAGCAAAGCAGCAGAGCAAGUAACAACAUCAAUAAGACACUAAACAAAAUUAAGGGUACAACGUCUCGUCUUAUCGGAGAGACUUCUUUGAACGUCUAUUUUGUAACGUUAUGGUCGGGCAUGGGGAGUGAAUUUUUCGUGGAAACGUUUACCCCCUUUCGCCGAUGAGAAAGUCGCCGUAAUUUGCGUUCAUUUGAAGUCGAUCCGGUAAGGCAUCACAUGGAACAUAUUUUUCGCACCACACAAUCCAUUGUGACUUCAUUGGCUUCAUUCUCCGUCGUAAUAUCAGCAUUCUGCAGUUCCAGGAGCUUGAGAAUUAACUGCAAACACUCCUCGACCUUUGGCCACGUAACUCUGGCCGGUGUUAGGUGUAGGAAGUUUAUAAGACUGACGGCCUGAUACGGCUCCAUGGCACAUACGUUGCGCCCCACCCACUCCACUGUAUCUUCGUUGGCCGCUGCAAUGUAUAGCCGCCCAUUGUACUCAGUUACCGGAGUCACCUCAUUAAAAUUUAAACAGCGAACUUUCCUGAAAUCAAAAAAAAAUCCCAAAGAACUUUUCCAACAGAUCGCAAAAGUUUUUAUCACAUUCUGAGGAAGAAACGAUCACAACAAAGAGCCUGUUCUCUGGGAGUAUGUUUACGUAAGGGGGCCGCUGUCCAUUUAUAUCAUUCGGUUCCAUUUCCAUUUCCAAUUUCACCGAGCGUGGUCUGGAUUUAAAGUCGCAGCCUCCCUUGCCGCAUGCCUCCUGCAUACAUCCAUACGAGGAGCUUUGCAAACUCUUCUCACUGGACUCGAGAACCUUUUUGAGAACCUAUUUUCGUACCUUUGGCCUUUUCUUUUAACCCCGCGUUUGCAAUCAAAUGUGGAUGGCUGUAAGUAUUCGCUACUAGAUCCUGAGGAGAGCUCAAUGCCAGAGAGCUGGCUACCAUCCGAUGACUAACUCAAUGCUAGAGUUCGAUGAACUCUGACUAUCAACCAGGACCAUAAUCAUAAUCAGACCAUAAUCAGACCCACAAAAAAGGACGACAACGGAGCAACUUCUGUCAUGAGAUCUGACUCGGCCAACGUUACACCUGAGGCAGAAAUCUCCAAUGUUUCCGGCUGAAUUUUGGGCAGAUAUUCAAGCUCUGUCUUAAGGUCAUAUAUGGUAGCUGAGAUCGAUAGUUUGAUGACCAAUUGAUGGAAAAGAACACUUGGUCACAAUUAUGAAAAAUUUUCAGAAGUAUAGCAAAUUUCUUUUUAUUUUUGAUGUUCACUGUAUGAGUUCACGAAGUAGAAUGAUUGAAGUACUGUACUCUCUGAACGGGUCGAAUUUUACAAACAUCCCAGGACUUCUUGGACUUCAAAAAUUUGUGAUUUGCUUGUCUAGCUGAAAAUACUAUAAUUACAACAUUGUGUAAUUAAAACAUCGUUUGUCCGUUUCUCAUUAAAAUAACCGGUAGAAAUCGUAA